rnacentral:rRNA from 1 species
UGCAGUCGAGCGAUGGAUUAAGAGCUUGCUCUUAUGAAGUUAGCGGCGGACGGGUGAGUAACACGUGGGUAACCUGCCCAUAAGACUGGGAUAACUCCGGGAAACCGGGGCUAAUACCGGAUAAYAUUUUGAACYGCAUGGUUCGAAAUUGAAAGGCGGCUUCGGCUGUCACUUAUGGAUGGACCCGCGUCGCAUUAGCUAGUUGGUGAGGUAACGGCUCACCAAGGCAACGAUGCGUAGCCGACCUGAGAGGGUGAUCGGCCACACUGGGACUGAGACACGGCCCAGACUCCUACGGGAGGCAGCAGUAGGGAAUCUUCCGCAAUGGACGAAAGUCUGACGGAGCAACGCCGCGUGAGUGAUGAAGGCUUUCGGGUCGUAAAACUCUGUUGUUAGGGAAGAACAAGUGCUAGUUGAAUAWKYUGGCACCUUGACGGUACCUAACCAGAAAGCCACGGCUAACUACGUGCCAGCAGCCGCGGUAAUACGUAGGUGGCAAGCGUUAUCCGGAAUUAUUGGGCGU